UUGCUUCAGCAGCAAAUAUACUAAAAUUGUAAUGAUACACAGAUUGGCAUGACCCCUGCACACGGGUGACAUGGAAAUUCCUGAAGUGUUUCAUAUUUAA
ensembl:snRNA Rnu6-857 RNA, U6 small nuclear 857